AGGGUCGUGUCUGAUUGGACAGGUUUAUAAUGGGUCAUGUCUGAUUGGACAGGUUUAUAAUGGGUCGUGUCUGAUUGGUCAUGUCUGAUUGGACAGGUUUAUAAUGGGUCGUGUCUGAUUUUACAGGUUUAUAAUGGGUCAUGUCUGAUUGGACGAGCGUGUGACGGGUCAUGUCUGAUUGGAGAGGCUUUUGAUGAGCCACACAUGAUUGGACUUGUGAUGGGCCUUGUCAACUUUGACAAGUUUAUUACUGAUUGUACCAGACUGGACAGAAUUUUGUCUGAUUCCUGUCAUAUCUGUCAAAUAUCUGACUUCAUGAGCCGAUCACGGUUUGU
ensembl:lncRNA